rnacentral:lncRNA from 1 species
GGAGUCCAGAGGCCGGGGGAACGUGCGAGCAGAGGCGCGGCCACCGCAUCCGUGGCCAGGAUCUCGUGGCCCGCCGAGACGGUCGAAUUGUGGAGGCAGCCCGCAGCGGCGUGGCCUUCAGAGUCUCUGCAUUUGGUGAAGAACUUAAGUUUUCAAUAAAAAUAAAACUGCUGGAGCGGUGGCUCACACCUGUAAUCUCAGCACUUUGAGAGGCCGAGGUGGGCAGAUCACAUAAGGUCAGGAGUUCGAAACCAGCGUGGCCAACAUGGUGAAAACCUAUGUCUUCUAAAAAUACAAAAAAAAAAAAAAUUAGCUGGGCGUAGUAUCGCAUGCCUGCAGUUCCAGCUACUCGGGAGGCUGAAGCAUGAAAAUCACUAAAACCUGGGAGGCGGAGGUUGCAGUGAGCCGAAAUCAUGUCACUGCACUUAAGCCUGACUUUGUCAAAAAAAAAAAAAAAGAAAGAAAAAUAAACCUAACAUAAAUUUGUAAGUGCUUUUCUUUUUAUCUAAGUGUGAAAAUGUACUGGCCCUAAAAGAAAUUGUUAUAGAUAGUCAAUAUGGG